AGCUCUUUAGUUAGGUAACACAAGGCUAAAGUUCCUCCUUGUUUGUAGGUUCAAUUCCUGCAGGGACUA
rnacentral:tRNA from 2 species